rnacentral:piRNA from 1 species
UGUUGAGAUGACCUGCUUACGUUUGG